rnacentral:rRNA from 1 species
AACACGACUCUCAGCAACGGAUAUCUCAGCUCUCGCCAUGAUGAAGAAUGUAGCAAAAUACGAUACUUAGUGUGAAUUGUAGAAUCCCAUGAAUCAUGGAGUCUUUGAACACAAGUUGUUCCUGAGGGUCUGACUGAGGGCAUGUCUACUUGGGCAUCGUAC